GGUUGGUCCAAUGGUAGUAGGUUAUCAGAACUUACUAAUAUUACUGUCACUAACGGUGAUAACCCCCAUUGCUAAAUUUGACUGGCUUUAA
ensembl:misc_RNA Y_RNA Y RNA